UGGAUCUGGUUUGUUAAGCUUUGGACCCUUUUAGGCGUGAUUUAUACACAUUAAAAUCAGUAUGUUUGUUUACAACACAGCUUAGGGAUGGGUGGGUGGAUUUGUUUAGAAAUUAUUGGUAUCUAUAGUUUAACAGAGUUUAUCAGUGUAUCAGUUACGGUUUUGUCUUUGAAAGAAAGUUAGAGCACACAUCAAUAUCGUAUUAUCCAGAACGACAAACUAAGUGAAAUUCGAAUAUUUUUUUAGGUUACCAAAAAAUUUAAAAACCAGGGCAAAAUGGAUUGAAAAUAUUGGGCGACGUGAUUGGAAUCCUACACCAAAUACAUAUAUUUGUUCUUUACAUUUUGAAAAAAAUUGCGUAAAUCGCACUUUAAAUGUACCGCGAGUGAAAGAUAACUGUUUUCCAACAAUAUUCCCGCAAGGAAUAAUGCGACAUAUAAAUUUACAAAAUGAAAUAAACACAACUGGAUGUUUAUCACAACAGCAUGUAAUUGCACCAGAUGAAUCAAAUUCUCAAGCAAGUACAUCUAAGGACUAC